GGAGAGGUGUCCGAGUGGUUGAUGGUGCCGCUCUCGAAAAGCGGUGUGCGAUGAGCACCGUGGGUUCGAAUCCCACCCUCUCCGCCA
rnacentral:tRNA from 1 species